GGUACUAUCUAAAAUGUGGCAUUUUAGAGACUGUUGGGAUCAAAACAGCUCCAAAAAGCAUUUACAGCAAUAUUAUAGUGUAGCAUACACUAGUGCAUGUCUCCACCUCAACUGGUCAAGAUACUUGAGGAGAGCGUUACAGUGAGACAUAGUUUGGAUUCAACCCCAAGGCAAGAUCUUCAUGGCAUCCCAAGUCUUUUGGAAAGUUCUUGGAGCGUCCCGGAAAUCAGCGCCACCUCCCUGAUUCCUUGAGAGCAAAUCCAAAGGUCAG